rnacentral:ncRNA from 1 species
CAAGUUCCUUUUGGAUUAAUAGGGAAACCAGUGAGAUUCUGGUACGAUCCCGUCACUGUAAAAAGGGAGUCCGGAGACAUAUAUGUCACUGGCCGGGUGGUGGCCCGGCCGGGAAGGCGUCUUCGCGAUAAUGAUCUUUAAGUCAGGAGACCUGCUUGCUAAUG